GCUGGCUAAUUGGAAAGGGAACAGAAGGAGCAUACUGGCUAAGGGAGCAUAGCCCUUUAAGACAUUGAUGGUGUGACUGACUUGUUAGGCUAACAGUUGAGGCACUCACCUGGGAAAAUAAAAACAGAAGAAUGUUCAGGCAAGCAGAGAUCUCAGCUGAGAGAAAGCAAUUCACUGAGUCUGUUGCUAGAGUAUCUGCAUGAUUCACAGUUCCUGCUGCAUAAAGGAGGAGCUUCGUCUUCCCUGAGCAUCCAACUCACCCUUGAUAUUCUGUUUCAAGAAGGCUUCCAGAUAUCGCAGGAAGAGAACAGAGCCUCUGGAAAGGCCAGGAGGAAUGACCUGAAAACUAAGGCACAGGUUCUAACUUAAGUGGAAGUUUGUCUUGCAGAGCGGGUAUGCCCGAUGUUAGCUAUUUUAGAGUCCCACUGCACAUGUAUACUCCUGAACUGUUAAGUUCUAUGUAGAUGAAUGUUAAAUGAUUUUAAGUGUGUUGAAUUUAGAAGUUAAACAGCAUUGUGUGCAUUACUAAGGAGGGAAAAAAGCAUAUGAGUUGAUAUGCUGUAAAACUGAAAUAAAUACUUUAUAAAAUAAGUAUUUUUCAUGAGCCCUCAUCAGCUGUUGAUGUUUAGCUUAUAUGGUGCUCUUGCAUACCCCCAUUAAUUUUAUAACAUUGGGACUGAGUUAAAAGGAAUCAGAAUGUGGCUUUUUUGUUGUUCUCUGUUUGUUUUUAACCUCUGAUGCUCUCUAGAAGUGUGAUGGUAGAUGAGGCACCCACAUGUGAGAUGGGUUUAAAUUAACUAGUCUGUGUAUGGCUAAUGCAUUAACUGUGAUGUUAGAGGCCUACUUUGAGUGUCUGAAUAAACAUACUGAUGAUUAGCUUUUGUGAAGCUCUGUAGAAUUGUUGUUGCUGUGCCCUUUCUCUAAAGCGGGGUGCCAAACUGCACGUUGAAGAAUCUGGCUAAAUGCCUGAGAUGAAGGGAUAAUGUUUCCAUCAUACUUGGUAUGCUCUAUUCAGAGGAAGCGAGAAUGCGGGCACAACUUGUAUUUAUAUCCGUAGCUAUGUUGGGAGUGCAGAAGCAUGAAAAUAAGUUUCAACCACGAUGAGGAUCUGCCUCAAGGACGAAUGCUCCAAAUUCUGCCUUGAUUUCCAUUCCCUGAAACCAUCUUUGGCAGUCAAGAGCAGCAUUUAGAUUAUGCUUUCACUGAAGAACUAGUUAAAUAUUAAAUGCAAAGGAGUGAUGCAAUAAAAUACUCCUUGGAGUAGACCCACAAACCCAGACUUCCUCCUAAAUCUGUGUUAUUCGAGCAUCCAGGAAAUGCAGUUUGCUCUAUCAG